rnacentral:tRNA from 1 species
GACAUCCGUGCAAAUCGGGUCACCCUGA